CUGUCUCCACCCGAGACUCAGUGAAAUUGAAAUCGCUGUGAAGAUGCAGCGUUCCCGUGGCAAGACGGAAAGACCCCGUGAACCUUUACUAUAGCUUUACACUGAACGUUGAGUUCGUCUGUGUAGGAUAGGUGGGAGGCUAUGAAACUGUGGCGCCAGCUGCAGUGGAGCCAUCCUUGAAAUACCACCCUGUCGUGCUUGACGUUCUAACCUGGGCCCAUUAUCUGGGUCGGGGACCGUGUAUGGUGGGUAGUUUGACUGGGGCGGUCUCCUCCUAAAGAGUAACGGAGGAGCUCGAAGGUACGCUCAGCGCGGUCGGACAUCGCGCACUGUGUGCAAAGGCAUAAGCGUGCUUGACUGCAAGAUCGACGGAUCAAGCAGGUAGGAAACUAGGACUUAGUGAUCCGGUGGUUCUG
rnacentral:rRNA from 1 species